AAUAAUAAUAUGAAAAGAAAAGGAAGAUGGUCAUCAUAUUCAUUCUUUUACCCGUACCACCAAAAGAAAAAAGGGAGAAACCAUUGUUUUUGUUCAAGCCUUUCGUCUAUGGUAUGGUUUGGUUAUGUUUAGCUAAAGAAGUGGGUGAAUAACAUUGUGGGAAAGAAAAGGAAUAGGCUUGAGGAGGUAGGCAGCAACUUGGGAAAAUUUUGUACCAUGUGUGGACAACAAAUUAAAUGGGCACCAUGCGUGGACAGCAAAUUAAAAGCUGGAACCAGCUUAGUGCAAGGACGCCAUUAAUGAUGAUGGCUGCUGAAGGUGCAUGGAAUUACCGAAUUUUAAUGCAAGCAUCUAGAAGAAAGCAUGCAUUCAGCCAUGCAUGUAUUUUGGAGGUGACCAUUCGGCAAGGGGGCUGCACUUGCUGAUUAUUUUUCAAUUAAACAGCCAAUAAAUUCUAAAUGUCCAUUCGGCUAUGGCUGUUCACACACCAAGUCUUUUCAUUGCUAAUUGUUCACAUAUAAGACUACUCCAAUACCCCAGCAAGAUGUGCAUGCAUUCGGCAGCAUCAAGAAGUUUUAAUUGCCAGCUUUUAUUUCCUUAGCUAAAUACUCCAGCUCAGGAAAUUAAGUCCUCACUAAAGGAUUUUUCGUGGACACCAAUGAGCAACAAUACAAGGACUGUUCGGGAAUACAAAUGGCCAGAUUACAUUAACUUUGUUUCAAUUUAGCUUAAUUUGUAAUUAUUUGUGGCCAUUCGGCUGGACUUAGUUGAGCUUAUAAAUAGCUCAAAUGCUGCCAUUGAAAAGGACUUUUGACUUUUGAUCAUUUGAAUGAACUUUGUUCAAAGAGUGAGUUUUCUCCUCUCUAAA